AGAGGUUUCUUGAUUACAUGUUUGGUGGGUUAAAAUAUGAGAAAGAACCAGAUAAUUAAAUAGACAAGAAGUCUUUAUACUUAGGGGAAAAGUUUAAUCAUUAUAUCCAUAUAUUUUAUAUCAACAGAGUGAAGAUCAUUUGAAUGAAAACCAGGGUUUCGACGAUCCAGAACAUUUUGCAAGCAGAGCAGUGAUCACUUGAAUGAAAACCCAGGGCUUCAAACACACAGGUGAAAAGACAGUGCCUCGUUUCCCUGAAAAUAAUUGUUAGAAGAAAGAAAAACUAAUGAUGCUCAGUUGUCUCAUGAUAAGGGACUUUUCUGGCAGCGGAGAAUUGGCUGGUGGCAGUAUGCUGGGCCUUUCGGGAUCUUAGCAUGGCUACAAGUUAUUGUCCAGUUCGGUGGUGAGUUUAUGGCUGAGUUUUCCUCCUUUACUUUCCAACUUUAUUCUCUUAGAAGCCUCUAAUCUUCUUCAGAGACCUAGGGGCACAGGCCAGGCAGGGAAAAAUCCUAUAUCCACUUACCUCCUUCUCCUUAAAUUCCUUCCCUCUAUAUUAAUUAAAUUACCAUGAAUUUCCAGACUGACUUGGGUAUUUUAUUUGAGAUUUCCCUUGGCAACCAAUUAAAUAUAGAUUUUAAGUCACAACCCUAAAAUUAUCUUUAC
rnacentral:lncRNA from 1 species